rnacentral:rRNA from 1 species
CGCGUAGGCGGUUUGGUAAGUCGGAUGUGAAAGCCCAGGGCUUAACCUUGGAAUUGCAUUCGAUACUGCUUAACUAGAGUAUGGUAGAGGGAAGUGGAAUUUCCGGUGUAGCGGUGAAAUGCGUAGAUAUCGGAAGGAACACCAGUGGCGAAGGCGACUUCCUGGGCCAAUACUGACGCUGAGGUGCGAAAGCGUGGGGAGCAAACA